GAUGAACGCUAGCGAUAGGCUUAACACAUGCAAGUCGAGGGGCAGCACAAGGUAGCUUGCUAUCUGGGUGGCGACCGGCGCACGGGUGCGUAACGCGUAUGCAACUUGCCCUAUACAGGAGGAUAACCCGUCGAAAGACGGACUAAUACUGCGUAUGCUCACAACUUGGCAUCAAGUGGUGAGGAAAGAAAUUCGGUAUAGGAUAGGCAUGCGUCCCAUUAGCUUGUUGGUGAGGUAACGGCUCACCAAGGCAACGAUGGGUAGGGGAACUGAGAGGUUUAUCCCCCACACUGGUACUGAGACACGGACCAGACUCCUACGGGAGGCAGCAGUGAGGAAUAUUGGUCAAUGGGCGCGAGCCUGAACCAGCCAAGUCGCGUGAAGGAUGACUGUCUUAUGGAUUGUAAACUUCUUUUAUACGGGAAUAACAAGAGUCACGUGUGACUCCCUGCAGGUACCGUAUGAAUAAGCAUCGGCUAACUCCGUG
rnacentral:rRNA from 1 species